rnacentral:rRNA from 1 species
GAUGAACGCUAGCGGCAGGCUUAAUACAUGCAAGUCGAGGGGCAGCAUGAGUAGCAAUACUUGAUGGCGACCGGCAAACGGGUGCGGAACACGUACGCAACCUUCCUUUAAGUGGGGAAUAGCCCGGGGAAACCCGGAUUAAUACUCCGUAAUAUUAUGAUGUGGCAUCACUUUAUAAUUAUAGAUUUAUCGCUUAAAGAUGGGCGUGCGCCUGAUUAGGUAGUUGGCGGGGAACGGCUCACCAAGGCUACGAUCAGUAGCUGGUCUGAGAGGAUGAUCAGCCACAUUGGGACUGAGACACCGGCCCAAACCUACCUACGGGAGGCGGCAGUGGGGAAUCUUGCGCAAUGGGCGAAAGCCUGACGCAGCC